CAACGGACGUUUCCUGGACGUUGUACGGGAAAACACACAAAGAGAAAGUCGUCAAAACAUGAAAGCAUACGCAAACGAUGAUACGGAUUUGUUGACAGCCAUUUCCAGUUAUCAAGUAAGUAGUUAUAAAAAAUGUCUAAAAUAUUUGACUUCUUAUAAUUCAUGGGGGCUUCAAGUUAUAUAGAUUUUGCCACAAGCUAGCCCUCAUACUCAAUAUUCAUAAAUUCCGAACGACAUCACAAAUAUCCAAGUCGUCGUAAAAUCAAUAUAUACGUACAUUCAAGCCCCAGUGAAUAAUUUCUUAAGUACACUCAUUUAAAAUUUGAUUAUUCGUCGCUUUCUUUUGACGCCCAGUGGCAAAUAUUGCACGCAUUUCCAGGAUGGUUAAAGAAAAGUAAGGUAUAUAAAAAAAUGGAGGAUUCCGUUACCACAACGAAAAAUGAUAAAGGAUAUCUAUACGGAGAAGGAAAAGUUCUAACUCCAAUUCUAUGAUCAUACUGUAUAGAAGGGAUGUAUAGAAUGCUCUUUAUAUAUUUAUACGAUCACUUGAUUAUAAAAGUAAUCAUAAAUUUCAUGCUUAAGCUGUGUUGAUAGAAACCAACGAUUUAUAAGUAACGCCUGGAUAUGGGCCUUCUUUUUCUUGAGGGAUCCCUGUACUUUAUAGUUAGGGUCCAUAUAUGGUUAGGGUUAGGGUUAGGGUUUGCUCUAGGUAAAGGUAAGGUUUAAUGUCUAGGUCUAAAUUUAGAAACGGAUGACUAAAAUGAAUAUACAAAGUAUUCAGACUUUUAAUGCACAUCAAUAUUGUGAUACUUUGACGAUUUUUUUAAAUGUAUAUAUAGUUCGAAGUGGGGAAAAACCUGUAUGUCCAAACCUAGUGACCAGUCAUCACUAGUCCUUUUAACUUGAUAAAGUAAGGAUUAUUUUUUUUAUAUAAUCAAAGGUGUAUUAGCUGUCAAAUUCAUGUUCAUCGAUAUGAAUCUAAGUCUAAUAUUUGAUCUAUAACAUACUAAAACAUCGAUAUGAAUCUAAGUCUAAUAUUUGAUCUAUGACAUACUAAACAUCGAUAUGAAUCUAAGUCUAAUAUUUGAUCUAUGACAUACUAAAACAUCGAUAUGAAUCUAAGUCUAAUAUUUGAUCUAUAACAUACUAAAACAUCGAUAUGAAUCUAAGUCUAAUAUUUGAUCUAUGACAUACUAAAACAUAUAGAUCUCCUAAUUAUAAAUAGUUUAAAUUAAAUAAUUUACAAAGCAUGGGCUCAUUUCUAAAAAAAAAGUAAAAUAACAAAAAAUCCGAAAUCAGAGGACAAUUCAAAAUUGAAAGUCCCUAAUCAAAUGACAAAAUCAUCAAAAGCUCAAACAAAUCAACGAUUGGAAAACAAACUGUCAUAUUCAUGACUUGGUACAGGCAUUUUGUAUAUGUAGAAAAUGGUAGAUUAAAUCUGGUUUUAAUGCUAUCUAAAUACUCGUAGUGUUUGUAAUAUUGAUGAAUUAUGUAGAUAUUAAAGUUUCUUUUUUAUCUAUGAAAUAAAUGAAGUAGAAUCAUAACGGAACGUCUUUUUAUUUCAUUGUAGUUGUAGACACUACAAAACUAUCACGGAGAAUGACAAAGGGACCAUGUGCAAUUCAUAAACAAGACCAAAUUUGUGUGAUACUGGUGGAGGGACAUUAUGACAUACUUGAUUAGACAUGAUAGUGUAUAGACCUUUAUUAUUCUAUUGGUGCUUGGAUAUCUAUAACUUUGAACUAAAUGUGUGUGCUCUAUUCAUUGGAAGAACAUAUAUAUACAGAUACAUAUCCAUACCCUGACGUAAGUAUUGAUUAUUGUUUUAAUUUCCAUAGAUCUGAUAACCAGUAUGAAUAACUUUCAUAUCAUUGGACUUAUUUUCAAUCGCCUCUUUUCCAUUGCGAUUGAUUUCAUAUACAGGUCCUACAACGUACCUAUUUAGAUUCUGAUUCAGAUAACUGCAUCCGAUAUCAAACCUGACAAUAAUAAUAAUAAUAAAUGUGUAAUUAUAUUAAAACCAAUGAUGACCAUGAUGACCCUUAAACUGUAGAAACAUAUGUUGUAUAUCAAAUGGUCUACAAGACCAACGUUACACAAACUCUGGGACUAAUACAUUGAAUUUUAUCUAUUAGUCCCAGUCAAACUAUAGUAAAAAAAAAUCGUUGCAGUAUAAAACAUUGUAUUCAUUUUGACUGGGAUAAGUUCUCAGCGAUGAAGACAGGACUUUUGCAUUAUUUCAAUAGAGAUAAGAACCAAAUACGCAUACAACAUGGUAAUGGGAGAUUCGAAACAUUGGCAAACAUUCAUGUGUAACAGUAAAUACAGUAGAUAUUUGUAAAGUUCAUCAUCUAUAGUACACGAGUCCUCAUCUCAUCUUGGACCAAAAGAUAAAGGGAAAUUCAUUCGCUUACGAUUAUUUUUCAAUUUCAUUGUCUCCUCAAAUUUACAUGUAAAUGGUUGUUUUGAUGGCAUUUUUCUGUUCAAAUCUGACGAUACAGUUUUUCUUACUCUCCUUAGAUUUGUAAUUGUAAGCUUGCAUAGGAUAAUUUUUAAUUGCCAUAACCUUACAACAAAGUUGUUAUUCUCGUAUCAAAAGUGAUUAUUUUCAAUUUUUGAACAAAUUAUUUGAAUAUUUUAUAUUUAUACAUCGUAUCUUUUUCCUUCACCCUUUGUUACCUUGUUUUUCUCUAAAUGAUUUAAAGGGGAAAUUCAAAGUGCAAAUUAAUCCGACAUCGUGUAUUCUUUUUAAUGAUAAAUGAUUUUGUACAUUUGUUGCAGUUCCGCAGAAAAAAGGUAUUGGAUAAUUUUGUUUUUAAAAGUAACUGAUUUUUUUUUAUGAAUGUGCAUUCUUUAUGGAAAAUAAUGAAUUUCCUGUAUCCAAAUUUCAAAAUACCAUAUAGCGUUUAAAAGACGAUAAAAAGAAGAAUAAACACCCAUGUACAAAUAAAUACAUUUCAUUCAAUAAGGUAAGACCAUGUUAGAAGUAAACAUUAUACAGUUUUCCUUAUAUAGUGAAAGGGAGGGGGAUCAGGACCUUUUUCGGGACGUCGGGAUCAGGUGGUUUUAAUCUCGGGAUUUCGGGAUUAACCCUUUCGGGGUCCGGGAAUUCUUCUUUUGAAGUUCGGGAUGCCGGGAUUUAUUUCUUUUAAAUUCGGGACCUCGGGAUUUCAUGUUUUUAAAUCCGCGAUUUCGGGAGCAGGACACCUCUGACCCUCUGGUUUACUUUUAUAAAUUUUUAUUUGGAUGGAGAGUUGUCUUAGUGGCACUCAUACCAUUAGAAUAAGUUUAUCCAAUUAUUGAUAAGUUUACCAUGAUCCGUAAACACUAUGAUCACCAUAAUAAUAAGGAUGUGCUGUUCCGUUUGAUUUAAUUUUCCACAGUUUAGGGCACCCACCAUGACUCCCUAACUUGAGACAAUGGUACAAUAGUACAACAUAAGAACAGAUCAAUCAAUGAGCCUGUAGUUCAUAAAGAUGCUUAUUUCUUAUGUAUAUAUUUCCCAGGUCACUUAAUUAAUCUGCCAUAAAAGUUAGUUAAAUUAUUUUAUUUUUUCAGAAUCACUGAUAAAAUCUUCUUCCCACGUUUGAUAAUUAACCUUAUCUUUCUUAACGGGAUUCCAUUCGUACUUGCCUUGGGGUGGUCGCCGAAGAAAUUUCAACUAAAUAUAUCAUAGUUAAAGUCACUGCAUGCGGAAAAGAUGUCGGCAAAAAAGAGUAAAAGAUAAUAAUUCAAUAGCAGUAUCUUAUUGAAGAUUUGGAUCAAAUAAAGGAUUUCUCUCAAAAGGAAGUUUAUGUGCACGUGUUUUCAAAUAAAACUAAAAGUGAAGUGAAACUUUAAAAAUAUACUUUCGAUCAAUAAGCUUGCCGAAGGGCUCUUACAUGUAUGUUUAAAUCUAUUUUCUAUAUAUUUUGGGAAUUAUAAUACUAGUAUAAGACAUUACGGACAUGAAUGCAUAAAACGCGUUCAGAGACAAGAAGUGGAUUUCAUCAGUGGCGAUUAUAAUAUUACAAGCAUAAAGGAAGGAAGUAUAAAGAGAGGGGCGAAAUAUACCAGAGGGACUUAUGGACAAAGUUAAUUAACUUUCAACAGAUGUGAUAGUAGACUCACUUUUCUUUACCAGCUUUCCCGCAAGAUUAAGUAUUAGCUAAGGAGAGAUAAAUAAGAUUUAAACAGUUUUAAUAGUGAUUGUUAAACAACAAACAUUGUAGACAAAUUUGUAGAAAACAGCAGCCGAUAUUUCAAAACAGUACAUGUAAAUCCUACCAAUAAAAAGUAAUUAUUUUUAAAAAUAAUUUCCGAUUGAAAUAGAUUACCAGAAAAUAUCGUGUGUGCCAAGACAAUAGCGAGUUUUAAAACUUCGGAUGCUCUCUCAUCGUUGGACCUUAUUUUCUAGGGCCUCUGUUCAGCUGCCGUUGAUACAUAAUGAUUGUUCGCCCUGCAACGUAUACCUAUUCAGAUUCAGAUUCUGAAUUUCAGACAUGUAGCAAUUCUAUUUCAUUUUUAUACGACCGCAAAACAUUUUUUGCGUCGUAUAUUAGUGUGACGUUGUCGUCGUCGUCCGAAGACACAUUUGAUUUGGUUUCCGGACAAUUACUUUAGAAAAAGUGAAUGAAUCUCUGAAAUUUUACCAGAAUGUUCAAUAACACAAAGGGAAGGUUGGGAUUGAUUUUGGGGGUUAUGGUACCAACAGUUUAGGGGCCAAAAAAAAAGGCCAAAAACAAGCAAGUUGUAGUUUCUGGACUAUAACUUGUGUGUAAGCGUAUGGAUCUCUCUAAUAUUGUACCACAAACUCCAUAUUACGAUGGAAAGACUGGGUAUGAGUUUGGGCGUAAUUGUCCCAAAAGUCAAUUAAGGGCCAAAAAGGGGGAUAAAAAAAAGCUAUUUUGUAGUUUCUGCACAAUAACUUUUGUGUAAGUGUAUGGAUCCCUCUGAAAUUGUACAGCAAUGUUCCAUAUCUCAAUGGGGAGACUGGGUAUGAGUUUGGGGGUAAUUCAGGAAUUAGGGCAAAAACAAGAAUUUUCUAGUUUCCAGAAAAUAACUUGUGCUUCAAUGUGUGGAUCUCUCUGAAAUUAUAUAUUGCAAGGUACCAUACUUAAGAGAAGUGGGGUUGAGUUUGGGGAUAAUAACUUUAAAAGGGGGAGGAAAAAAUUGAAUUUUUUUUAAUUUUUUUGUGUUUUUUUCUUAAAAUUGUCCAUUUGAUAUAUAUAAAAGCAAAACAUACUGAUCUUUAAUUGCACAGUAUUGCGCAAUAGCACAGUAUUGUCCAGUAGCAAGUCAUAUUCUAUUGCACAUUAUUGCUUAAAGGCACAGGAAAAAAUCUUCAUGCAAUUAUAAAUAAAGACAAAUAUUUUAACCCAUUUCAAAUUCUAAUGAUCUUUCACCACAUUUAUUUUGUGUCAGAAACCUAUAUUAUGUCAAAUUUUUUAUCACAAUCCAAAUUCAGACAGUAUCAAGCUUGAAUAUUGUGUUCAAACUUGCACCAGCUAUUCUCUGCGAUCGUAUCAGGCUGCGCUCUGCGGAGCAUUUUAUUUUAAGAAGCAUUUAUAAGGAUUGUUUACUUGUUUAAAUUUUAAUAAACAUAAAUACACUGAACCAAUGUCAUUUUCUAAUUCAGCUUUUAGUUUUUACCAUAUUAAUUUUUAAGUUAAAAAUCAAAAGUGAAUUCUAAGCUUGAUAAUGCCUCCCGUUUUCUCAACUGUUCCAAAGGCCAUGUUAGCUCUCGUCAGCACUUGGCGUCUGUCAUCCAUCAUAGAUGUUCUCGUCAAAAACUGCGGAAACAAAGUCAACCAAAGUUGAUGUGAAUGAUUUUUAGGGUUCUCAAAAUUAAAUAUGAUAAUUUCAUCUCAUUUCAUUAAAGAUGCUGAAAAUAAAUAUUUAUUAGGAAUAUAUAUCUGGGAAGAUAAUGAAAUGUUAUGAUGAGUUUUCCUAGACUAGACCAGAGUAAAAACUACCUAGCCUGAAUUUGUCGAAAGCAAAAUUGCGUAAUCUGUAGGAAGUGUAGAUACACUCAAAUAAUUGUACCCUGUUGUUUAGAAAUCGUAGGUACUUUAAUAUAUGUCAGUUAUAAAGCCCGUUUAUGUAAAUACUUACUAUUCCAUACCUACAUGCAAUCUUUUAAAAGCUUUUGGAUAGCAGGGAUACAAGUUCUGCUAGAAAUGGAAUUAGACAAUAACGGGCUACAAUUCUGACCUGUAGGAAAUCACGAAGGGACAACUGGCAUGUUGACCUGAAUUAUUUGCUAAAAUAAUGGAUUAAGUAACUUCCCCUUAUUUUAGCAAUACAUGGUGUUGUUUCAUUCAGAAAACGCAUUGCAUAUUAAAAAAUCUAUUUUUUUUGAUGCCAUGAAUUAGAACGCAUGUUCAUUUCGCGAUUUGACGAUUAUAUCUUCAUUCGCGCGCAAUUUGAUAUCGCGUUUUUUUUUUUGGAUGGUGUCUAUUUAUCAUGUAAGACAUUUCUUCUAUUAAGGUAAGGUUUGCAUGAAACCUGAUUUUUUUCUUAGUGAUAUUGUACCAAUAUGAUAAAUCAUUUUGUUCAAGGAGGAGUACCCAAUCAUUUAAUGAAAAAAAAAUCGAACAUCGCCCGUCCAGUUUUUUUCAUGUGAAAAGCUCAAAAUUCCGAUAUCAACUCCCACAUUGAACACUUCCCAGUUUUAAGUACCAUUACACUAUUCUCUUAUAUUUAGACACAAGGAACAUUCUAAGUGAAAGACAUCUAGCAGCAUUCAAGAUACAUUUUUGUAGCGGUUCACUACGAAUUAUCGUAUAGCAAUACACUAUUGAUAUUUUAUAGCCAGGACAAUUCUAAGAGAGACACUACUAGGAAGGCGUGCAGUCUUAUAAUAUAACACAUUCUCAUGGUUUAAUACAAGGUACUUUCUUAUUCCAAGACGCUUUGUCCUUCCUAAUGGCUUUCCACAUGCACUAGCAUCAUUACCAUAGAUACAUUUUUAUAGCAAUACACUAUGAAUAUUUUUUGCAAUACACUAGGAACAUUAUAAGAGCAAGAUAUUAGGUACAUUCUCAUAACAUUGCACUAGGUAUACAUUUUUUUUGGUUUUACACUAGUUAUAUUUUUAUAACAAGGAACAUUCUUAUAGAAACAUUCGUAUAGUGGAAAAACUAUGUGAAUUAAGUUUUUUUAUUCUACAUUGAACUUUUGAGGUCGUCCCUAAGAACCUUCAUAUAAAAUGACACUAAUGCCAUUAUUAUAUCAUUCCAAUUAGCACAUUCUUACAGCAAUAAGCUAAGAUCAUUUUUUGUAGCAUAGCACUAGGCACAUUCUUAUAGUAUUGCACAAGGCACAUUCUUAUAGCAUUGCACAAGGCACAUUCUUAUAUCAUUCCAAUUAGCACAUUCUUAUAGAAUUGUUCAAUGAACAUUCUUAUAUCAAUCAGUGCAUAAAGCUCCUUCUUAUAGCAUUGUACUAUACACUAUCUUAUAGCAUCGCGCUAGGCGCAUUCUUGAAGCAAUGCACUAAGCUCCUUCUUAUUGCUUUACACUAGGCACAUUCUUAUAGCAUUGCACUACGCUCCUUCUUAUAUCAUUGCACUAGGCAAAUUCUUAUAGCAAGAUCAUAGAACCUUUCUAAUAGUAUAGCACUAGGCACAUGUUUAUAGUAUUGCACUAGGCACAUUCUUAUACCAUUAAACUAGGUUCAUUCUUAUAGAAUUCCGCUAGGUACAUUCUUAUAGCAUUGCACUAAGCUCCUUCUUAUAGCAUUUCACUAGGAAAAUUCUUAUAGCAUUACACUAGGUCCAUUCUUAUCGCAUUGCACUAGGCACAUUCUUAAAGCAUUGCACUAAGCUCCUUCUUAUAGCAUUGCACUAGGCACAUUCUUAUAGCAUUGCACUAGGUACCUUCUUAGAGCAUUACACUAGGUCCAUUCUUACAGCAUUUCACUAGGCACAUUCUUAUAGCAUUGCCCUAGGCACAUUCUUAUAGCAUUACACUAGGUCUAUUCUGAUAGCGUUCCACUAGGCACAUUCUAAUAGCAUUCCACAAAGCUCCUUCUUAUAGCAUAAGCUCCUUCUGAUAGCAUUCCAUUAGCACUUUCUUAUAUUAUUGCACUAGGUCUAUUCUUAUAGCAUUCAACUAGGAACAUUCUAAUAGCAUUGCACUAGGCAAAUUCUUAUAGCAUUACACUUGGUCCUUUCUUAUAGCAUUGCACUAGGCACCUUCUUAUAGCAUAACACUACGCUCUUUCUUAUAGCACUGCACUAAGCUCCUUCUUAUAGCAUUCCAUUAGGCACAUUCUUAUAGCAUUGCACUAGGCACCUUCUUAUAGCAUAAAACCAGGUCCAUUCUUAUAGCAUUGCACUAGGCACUUUCUUAUAGCAUUGCACUAGGCACCUUCUUAUAGCAUUAAACUAGGUCCAUUCUUAUAGCAUUGCACUAGGCACAUUCUUAUAGCAUUGCACUGACCUCCUUCUUAUAACAAUGCACUAGGCACAUUCUUAUAGCAUUGCACUAAGCUCUUUCUUAUAGCAUUGUACUAAGCUUCUUCUUAUAACAUUCCAUUAGGAACUUUCUUAUAGCAUUGCACUAGGUGUAUUGUUAUAGCAUUCAACUAGGCACAUUCUAACAGCAUUGCAUUAAAGUCCUUCUUAUAACAUUGCAUUAGGCACAUUAUUAUAGCAUUGCACUAGGCACCUUCUUAUAGCAUAACACUAGGUCCAUUCUUAUAGCAUUGCACUAGGCACAUUUUUAUAGCAUUGCACUAAGAUCGUUCUUAUAACAUUGCACUAGGCACAUUCUAUAGCUUAACAGCAUUGCACUAAUUCUUAUAGCAUUGCACUAGGCACAUUCUUAUAGCAUUGCACUAAGCUCUUUCUUAUAGCAUUGUACUAAGCUUCUUCUUAUAACAUUCCAUUAGGCACUUUCUUAUAGCAUUGCACUAGGUGUAUUGUUAUAGCAUUCAACUAGGCACAUUCUAAUAGCAUUGCACUAAGGUCCUUCUUAUAACAUUGCAUUAGGCACAUUAUUAUAGCAUUGCACUAGGCACCUUCUUAUAGCAUUCUUAAAACUAGGUCCAUUCUUAUAGCAUUGCACUAGGCACAUUCUUAUAGCAUUACACUAGGUCCAUUCUUAUAGCAUUGCACUAGGCACCUUCUUAUAGCAUAACACUAGGUCCAUUCUUAUAGCAUUGCACUAGGCACAUUUUUAUAGCAUUGCACUAAGACCCUUCUUAUAACAUUGCACUAGGCACAUUCUAAUAGCAUUGCACUAAUGUCCUUAUACUAAGCUCUUUCUUAUGGCACUGCACUAAGCUCCUUAUCGCAUUCUAUCAGGCACAUUCUUAUAACAUUGCACUAGGCACCUUCUUAUAGCAUAAAACCAGGUCCAUUCUUAUAGCAUUGCACUAGGCACAUUCUUAUAGCAUUGCACUUAGCACUUCAUUGCACUAGGCACCUUCUUAUAGCAUUACACUAGGUCCAUUCUUAUAGCAUUGCACUAGGCACCUUCUUAUAGCAUUACACUAGGUCCUUUCUUAUAGCAUUGCACUAGGCACCUUCUUAUAGCAUAACACUAGGUCCAUUCUUAUAGCAUUGCACUAGGCUCUUCUUAUAGCAUUGCACUAAGCUCCUUCUGAUAGCAUUCUCAGGCACAUUCUUAUAGCAUUGCACUAGGCACCUUCUUAAUAGCAUAAUAGGUCAUUCUUAUAGCAUUGCACUAGGCACAUUCUUAUAGCAUUGCACUAGGCACCUUCUUAUAGCAUUACACUAGGUCCAUUCUUAUAGCAUUGCACUAGGCACAUUCUUAUAGCAUUGCACUGACCUCCUUCUUAUAACAAUGCACUAGGCACAUUCUUAUAGCACUGCACUAAGCUCUUUCUUAUAGCACUGCACUAAGCUCCUUCUUAUAGCAUUCCAUUAGGCACAUUCUUAUAGUAUUGCACUAGGCACCUUCUUAUAGCAUAAAACUAGGUCCAUUCCUAUAGCAUUGCACUAGGCACAUUCUUAUAGCAUUACACUAGGUCCUUUCUUACAGCAUUGCACUAGGCACCUUCUUAUAGCAUAACACUAGGUCCAUUCUUAUAGCAUUGUACUAGGUACAUUCUUAUAGCAUUGCACUAAGAUCCUUCUUAUAACAUUGCACUAGGCACAUUCUAAUAGCAUUGCACUAAUGUCCUUCUAAUAACAUUGAACUAGGCACAUUCUUAUAGCAUUGCACUUCUGCUAUGAGUCAAAUCAAUUUGCUGUUUUGCUGUUAUUGGGUACUUGUUAUCUGCUAUGAGUCAAAUCAAUUUGCUGUUUUGCUGUUAUUGGGACCCCCUUACCCCCCCCCUCAAUAAAGAUAUCAGAUAAAUCAAUCUUUUAGAACAUCGUGUGUAUAUAAAAACAACAAGAUAUAGCAUGAUUGCAAAUGAUACAACUCGAGACCAAAUGACAUAAGAAUUGACAACUAUUUGUCACUGUACGAACUUCAACAAUGAGCAUAUUUCAUACCGGAUGGUAAUAUGUGAAGGUCCCGAAAUGACUCAUGUAAAACAAUUAAAACGAAAAAACCAAAGGCCUGAGUUAUGAUUUAUGGACGAAACAAACAUGAUACACAGCAACAAACGACAACCUCUGAAUCACAUGCAGAAUGUGGCGAGGUUAAACAUGAUUACUAGCACCAAACCCUUCCCUAAUCUUGGAAGAACUAUACAAUCAGUAGAAAAUGGCUUAACUCAUCAGACCUAGACAAAUCACAUAAAAACCUCAUAGCUAGUGAGUAGAUCAUUUAUUAUAGUGACAUGUGUAGCAUAAAUUAUAUUACAUAAUAAAAAUACAAAAGUUAUUUCAAAUUACACCCAGUCCGUUGGACCUAUAAGUCACUGUAUCAACCAGAAAAGAAUAUAAUGUAUAGGUUAUAAGAUAGAUAUAUCAUAGAAUAAAUACCAUAUAUAUUUCGAUGAAUUUAAUUCGGAUUUGAACAGAAAAUAUUUGAAAAUAAACAUCAUUGAGAUGGAGGCCAUCUCUGUGGGCCCGCUGUAAAUAACGUGUGUUAACAAAAUUAUAUUGAUAAGCUGCUAUGAAGCACUUGUUUACGUUACUACAGUCUCGUUAUGUGCUGAGAGUACUUUUAUUCUAUGUUUUUUUUAGUUCAAAUGGUAUACUAGUAAUUGGCAAUUUAAUGAAACUGAUAAAUAUCCUUAACUUAAUUUUGUAGUAUAAGAGUGACAGACGGACGGACGGACGGACGGACAUACCUUUGACUUGGGAAGCUGUACAAAUUUUAUAACACACCCUUUGGUGUUCCAGUUAAUAUACAAUGUCAGGACUACUAACACAAAGGCUCCUGUUCGAUCCCCGGUUCGGGGACUGUAUUUGCGGCUCUCCCUUGACACCAUUUGCGAGUAUGGUCUUGAGGAAACAAUGAUAGUACGUCGGAAGGGGACGAUAACUGGCUGACUUGUGUUAAGAAAGAGCCAUAUCUCUUGCACGUCAAAGACACUCUUGUAGACUUCGAAAAAGAGCAGGCUAAUGCCGCUACAAGGCACCAAUCGCACCCGCAAAGUGGAAAGGGAUUAAUAUAAGUUACAAAACUUGUUUCCCAAUCCACUAUAAAUAAAUAUGUUUAAACUAAGUACAAAGUAUGAAAUGAUAACGGUUCUCUGGAUAUCGAGCGGGCACAGGUUGCUACGGACGAGACAGACAAACGGACAGACUGAAAGACGGAACCCUAAUAAAUACUUUAAUAAAGUAUAUUUUUAAAAGUAUCCAAGAUAAUUUUUUUAAUUAUUCAAUAGAAUAUAUGAGCUAAGGAAAGGGGGGGGGGGGGGCUACUGACUGACCUAAGGGGGUCCGCUCCAGUCAUGCUUCAGUGAUUCCCUAUUUAAUCAACCAAAUUUUUUUUUCACAAAAGGGGGACCCCCCCCCCCCCGGAUCCUGGAUCCGCCUAUGCAAACUUACUUUAUCAUUUUAAGGGCAUUUUUCAUUAUCUUUAAAAUAAUGCGUUCUGUAAAAUUAUCAGGACAAUGAUUUUUACUAUUUUUUCUUUAAUUGGACGAUUUCUUUAUUCUGUACAUCGUUAUUACUUUCUGUAAUCAGUAUUUCUUUACCUAAUUAUUUUUAUUUUUCAUUUGUUUAUUCUUUUUUUGCACCAAACUUACAAACUACUUUAAGAUUUAGUUACAUUUCAAAACUCAUAAAAAUUUUAACGUCUUUUUUUUCGCGGACUUUUUGACGUCGCUGACUAUUUUGGUCCGACUAUUGUGACGCCACCUAUUUAUGUCGUCCUGCGAUUGUUGAUGACAGAGUUUGGUGACAACGGACGUUUCCUGGACGUUACAUACGGGAAAACACACAAAGGGGAAAGUCGUCAAAACAUGAAAGCAUACGCAAACGAUGAUACGGAUUUGUUGACAGCCAUUUCCAGUUAUCAAGUAAGUAGUUAUACAAAAUGUCUAAAAUAUUUGACUUGUUAUAAUUCAUGGGGGCUUCAAGUUAUAUAGAUUUUACCACGAGCUAAUUCCGAACGACAUCAGAAAUAUCCAAGUCGUCGUAAAAUCAAUAUAUACGUACAUUCAAGCCCCAGUGAAUAAUUUCUUAAGCACACUCAUUUAAAAUUUGAUUAUUCAUCGCUUUCUUUUGACGCCCAGUGGCAAAUAUUGCACGCAUUUCCAGGAUGGUUAAAGAAAAGUAAGGGAUAUAAAAAAAUGGAGGAUUCCGUUACCACAACGAAAAAUGAUAAAGGAUAUCUAUACGGAGAAGGAAAAGUUUUAACUCCAAUUCUAUGAUCAUACUGUAUAGAAGGGAUGUAUAGAAUGCUCUUUAUAUAUUUAUACGAUCACUUGAUUAUAAAAGUAAUCAUAAAUUCCAUGCUAAAACUGUGUUGAUAGAAACCAAUGAUUUAUAAGUAACGCCUGGAUAUGGGCCUUCUUUUUCAUGAGGGAUCCCUGUACUUUAUAGUUAGGGUUCAUAUAUGGUUAGGGUUAGGUUAGGGUUUGUUCUCGGUAAAGGUAAGGUUUAAUGUCUAGGUGAAAAUUUAGAAACGGAUGACUAAAAUGAAUAUACAAAGUAUUCAGACUUUUAAUGCACAUCAAUAUUGUGAUACUUUGACGAUUUUUUAAAAUGUAUAUAUAGUUCGAAGUGGGGAAAAACCUGUAUGUCCAAACCUAGUGACCAGUCAUCACUAGUCCUUUUAACUUAACAACGUAAGGAUUAAUUUUUUUUUGUAUAUAAUCAAAGGAGUAUUAGCUGUCAAAUUCAUGUUCAUCGAUAUGAAUCUAAGUCUAAUAUUUGAUCUAUGACAUACUAAAACAUCGAUAUGAAUCUAAGUCUAAUAUUUGAUCUAUGACAUACUAAAACAUCGAUAUGAAUCUAAGUCUAAUAUUUGAUCUAUGACAUACUAAAACAUCGAUAUGAAUCUAAGUCUUAUAUUUGAUCUAUAACAUACUAAAACAUCGAUAUGAAUCUAAGUCUUAUAUUUGAUCUAUGACAUACUAAAACAUCGAUAUGAAUCUAAGUCUAAUAUUUGAUCUAUAACAUACUAAAACAUCGAUAUGAAUCUAAGUCUAAUAUUUGAUCUAUGACAUAAUAAAACAUAUAGAUCUCCUAAUUAUAAAUAGUUUAAAUUAAAUAAUUUACAAAGCAUGGGCUCAUUUCUAAAAAAAGUAAAAUAACAAAAAAUCCGAAAUCAGAGGACAAUUCAAAAUUGAAAUGACAAAAUCAUCAAAAGCUCAAACAAAUCAACGAUUGGAAAACAGCUGUCAAAUUCAUGACUUGGUACAGGCAUUUUGUAUAUGUAGAAAAUGGUAGAUUAAAACUGGUUUUAUAUCUAUCUAAAUACUCGUAGUGUUUGUAAUAUUGAUGAAUUAUGUAGAUAUUAAUGGUUUUUUUUUUUAUAUCUGAAAUAAAUGAAGUAGAAUCAUAACGGAACGUCUUUUUAUUUCAUUGUAGUUGUAGACACUACAAAUCUAUCACGGAGAAUGGCAAAGGGACCAUGUGCAAUUCAUAAACAAGACCAAAUUUGUGUAAUACUGGUGGAGGGACAUUAUGACAUACGUGAUUAGACAUGAUAGUGUACAGACCUUUAUUAUUCUAUUGGUGAUUGGAUAUCUAUAACUUUGAACUAAAUGUGUGUGCUCUAUUCAUUGGAAGAAAAUAUACAGAUACAUAUCCAUACCCUGACGUAAGUAUUGAAUUUUUUUUUAUUUCCAUCUGAUAACCAGUAUGAAUAACUCUCAUGAUAUCAUUGGACUAAUUUUCAAUCGCCUCUUUUCCAUUGCCAUUGAUUUCAUAUACAGGUCCUACAACGUACCUAUUUAGAUUCUGAUUCAGAUAACUGCAUCCGAUAUCAACCUGACAAGAAUAAUAAUAAUAAAUGUGUAAUUAUAUUAAAACCAAUGAUGACCCUUAAACUGUAGAAACAUAUGUUGUAUAUCAAAUGGUCUACAAGACCAACGUUACACAAACUCUGGGACUAAUACAUUGAAUUUUAUCUAUUAGUCCCAGUCAAACUAUAGUUGCAGUAUAAAACAUUGUAUUCAUUUUGACUGGGAUAAGUUCUCAGCGAUGAAGACAGGACUUUUGCAUUAUUUCAAUAGAGAUAAGAACCAAAUAUGCAUACAACAUGGUAAUUGGAGAUUCAAAACAUUGGCAAACAUUCAUGUGUAACAGUAAAUACAGUAGAUAUUUGUAAAGUUCAUCAUCUAUAGUACACAAGUCCUCAUCUCAUCUUGGACCAAAAGAUAAAGGGAAAUUCAUUCGCUUACGAUUAUUUUUCAAUUUCAUUGUCUCCUCAAAUUUACAUGUAAAUGGUGUUUUGAUGGCAUUUUUCUGUUCAAAUCCGAUGAUACAUCAUCAUCAUCAUACUUUAUUUCCUCCUAAAGGAGAUUGACAAAAUGCAUAUAAAUUAUGUACAAUUACAAAGUUUUGAAAUUAGAUAAUAGAAUUAAUGUCACUAAAUAAGACGAUAAAAAGAAGAAGAAACACCCAUGUACAAAUAAAUACAUUUCAUUCAAUAAGGUAAGACCAUGUUAGAAGUAAACAUUAUACAGUUUUCCUUAUAUAGUGAAAGGGAUGGGGAUCAGGACCUUUUUUUCGGGACGUCGGGAUCAGGUGGUUUUAAUCUCGGGAUUUCGGGAUUAACCCUUUCGGGAUCCGGGAAUUCUUCUUUUGAAGUUCGGGAUGCCGGAAUUUAUUUCUUUUAAAUUCGGGACCUCGGGAUUUCAUGUUUUAAAAUCCGGGAUUUCGGGAUCAGGACACCUCUGACCCUCUGGUUUACUUUUAUAAAUUUUUAUUUGGAUGGAGAGUUGUCUUAUUGGCACUCAUACCAUUAGAAUAAGUUUAUCCAAUUAUUGAUAAGUUUACCAUGAUCGUAUCUAAAUUUCCGGGCUCCGUAAACACUAUGAUCACCAUAAUAAUAAGGAUGUGCUGUUCCGUUUGAUUUAGUUUUGCACAGUUUAGGGAACCCACCAUGACUCCCUAACUUGAGACAAUGGUACAAUAGUACAACAUAAGAACAGAUCGAUCAAGGAGCCUGUAGUUCAUAAAGAUGCUUAUUUCUUAUGUAUAUAUUUCCCAUGUUACUAAUCUGCCAUAAAAGUUAGUUAAAUUAUUUUAUUUUUUCAGAAUCACUGAUAAAAUCUUCUUCCCACGUUUGAUAAUUAACCUUAUCUUUCUUAACGGGAUUCCAUUCGUACUUGCCUUGGGGUGGUCGCCGAAGAAAUUUUAACUAAAUAUAUCAUAGUUAAAGUCACUGCAUGCGGAAAAGAUGUCGGCAAAAAGGAGUACAAGAUAAUAAUUCAAUAGCAGUAUCUUAUUGAAGAUUUGGAUCAAAUAAAGGAUUUCUCUCAAAAGGAAGUUUAUGUGCACGUGUUUUAAAAUAAAAC
rnacentral:lncRNA from 1 species